CGCGGCCCGGUUCGGCCCCGCUGCAGCGGCCCCGGCGCUGCGGGCUGACGGCGCCCUUGGCCGUGCCGCCAUGAGGGCCGAGGUGGCGGGGACUCUGCAGCGCCGGCGAUACCUCCAGGAUGUUGUGUUAUACCUGUAAUUUGUCUACUGAUUUUUCUUGCCAUUUUUGUGCUAUCACACUCUUAUAAACCUUCUGUUUUGCCUCUUGAGACAAAAUGUACAAUCUGAUUACUGGAAACCACUUUGAUCAAUAAAUGGAUAUGCUUGAACA
rnacentral:lncRNA from 1 species